GGCUCCUGUGUCAUGUAAAAUUUAUAUUAAAUACAUUUGUAUGCUUUUUCCUUGUUAAUCUGUUUCUUUUCUGUUACAGGAGCUCCAAUAAAGAACCUAGGAGGGUAGAAGGAAAAGCCUUUUCCUUUGCUACCCUAUGUUACAGAUGAGGACACUGAGGCUCAGAGAGGGGAAGCGACCUGCCCAAGGUCACACAGCCAGCACAAGGUGCUGAGACUGAGGCUCUGAGACUUGAAGGAAUUUGUAGACAUGAGGUGAUCUGUAGGCAUGAGGAUAAAGGAGGGCUGUGAGCCGCCACUCAGGAACACAGGAGCACAUCCUUGUGCAGUUAUGGAGGCUGAGAUGUCCAUUGUCAAGGAGCUGCAUCUGGUGAGGUCCUUCUUGCUGCUGGUGACUCUCUGCAGAGCCCCCAAAGUGGUGCAGGACAUCAGCUGGUGAAGAAGCUGAGUGCUCACACGCUAGGACAGCCCUCUCUUCCUUUUCUUAUAAAGCUGCCAGUUCCUCUCCCAUGAUCGCUUAAUGGAUCAAUUAAUGGGUUAAUCUAUUAACCCAUUAAUUCACUAAUCCAUGACUGGAUUAACCCAUUCUUAAGGGCAGAACCCUCAUGACCCAAUCACCUCGUAAAGGCCCCACCUCCCAGUACAGCCACAUUGGGGAUUAAAUUUCAACAUGAGUUUUGAAGAGACAAAUACUCAAACCAUAGCAACAGACCUGGCUUGUGGGUGGAGAUGGGGGUUAGGGGUGGUUCUGAGUCAGGUUUGA